CGCGCAAUACGAAGAUAGAUAGACUAAUAAAGCCAAAAAAUCAAAACUUUAAACGACGCUCACUCUACUCUAUACUUCGACGUACUCUCCUUCCCCAUGCCUUUUUUUCUUACUUAUUUUUUCUUCUUUCUUUUCUUUU
rnacentral:ribozyme from 1 species